rnacentral:tRNA from 1 species
GACCGUAAUAUAGUGGUUUGAGUUUGGACUAUGAUUCUGGAGACCAGGGUUCAAUUCCCAGCUUGGCCA